AAUAUCAUGAUGAACUUGGCCAUAUUUUAUCAACACGCAGAAAUCUUCCAUGCUUUCCUAGGAUUGGUUUCUAAUUUCUCUCACACAACAAUCUACCUGGACAAACACUGCAUACGGUUUACUAAAGGGAGGGGAAGAUACUGAUGUCACUGCUUAAAAGAAGAAAAUAGUGGAAUGCUGAGGUUAUAGGUUUCAACACUUUUUGACAACAAGCAUGUGUAUAAUGGGCAUAGCCUUGCACUAUGUGGGAUUCUGAAGUUUUGCUGCUGAAUACCAACUUUGGAAGGAAUAUUUCACAGAAUGCUCUCACAACAUGGGAACAAAGCUGUUGUUUGGAGACAAUUCCAAAUGCGUUCUGCCAGCAUAUAAUGUUACAAUUUUAAUGAGACCCAUGUAUUGGCACACAGACAGCAAAAACGAAAUUCAUCCUACAGAAUUUUAAUCUCCAGUACAACAAAUCUU
rnacentral:lncRNA from 1 species